UAGAGUUUGAUCCUGGCUCAGGACGAACGCUGGCGGCGCGCUUAAUACAUGCAAGUCGAGCGAGAACCAUGGCUUCGGCCAUGGGGACAGCGGCGAACGGGUGAGUAACACGUGGGUAAUCAACCCCCGACACCGGGAUAGCCCAGGGAAACUUGGAUUAAUACCGGAUGCCCCAUCUGGCUUUCGAGCCGGCUGGAAAAGGGUAGCUUCGGCCUCCGGUCGGGGACGAGCCCGCGGCGGAUUAGCUUGUUGGUGAGGUAAGAGCUCACCAAGGCGACGAUCCGUAGCUGGUCUGAGAGGACGAUCAGCCACACUGGGACUGAGACACGGCCCAGACUCCUACGGGAGGCAGCAGUAGGGAAUCUUGCGCAAUGGGCGAAAGCCUGACGCAGCGACGCCGCGUGAGGGAAGAAGGCCUUCGGGUUGUAAACCUCUUUCAGGAGGGACGAAGCCACUCGGGUUAAUAGCCCAGAGGGUGACGGUACCUCCAGAAGAAGCCCCGGCUAACUACGUGCCAGCAGCCGCGGUAAU
rnacentral:rRNA from 1 species